GAAUCAUCUGAGUGAAGCGGCUGGGCACACUGAGGAGGAGAGCUCAGGAAUAUGGUCUGACUCACCCGGCUGUGGGAGCUGACAAGCCCAACACAGGGGAUGGAGGAAGAUUUUCAGCUCUGACAAAAGGCCAGAAAGGAGGAAAUCAUCCUUGCUGUCUUGUUCUUCUUGGAGCCCUGAGCAGCCAUAGGAACAGGCCCAGCCCAGCUGGCUAGAUCCUGACCAACAGGUGUCUGCUUGCCCUUGUGGUCUCUGCUGGUACCCACUAACUCCACGAAGCAGGAGCACCUAUCUGGAGGACUGGAAGCUGACUGCAAACAUACAUGGCUGUUCUUCUGGUUAUGGAUGAAAGGAGACUGCUGGCAACACCACAACCCUGAGGAUACCAAAACAGUACUGAAAACAGCUGGUGAUACUACAUGUCACAGAUGCACCAGCUGAGGUUGGUGGAGGGUAAACAACAAAGCCAACGUCUCACUGCUGCUGCCAGUAAGUAACACAGUGGUAAUUUGAUUUCAGUUCUUUGAACUCUAGACGACUAUGUUGCCUUUAUGAGCCA
rnacentral:lncRNA from 1 species